rnacentral:rRNA from 1 species
UGGGGAAUAUUGGACAAUGGGCCCAAGCCUGAUCCAGCCAUGCCGCGGGUGUGAAGAAGGCCUUUUGGUUGUAAAGCACUUUAAGCGAGGAGGAGGCUACUUGGAUUAAUACUCUAAGAUAGGGGACGUUACUCGCAGAAUAAGCACCGGCUAACUCUGUGCCAGCAGCCGCGGUAAUACAGAGGGUGCGAGCGUUAAUCGGAUUUACUGGGCGUAAAGCGUGCGUAGGCGGCUUCUUAAGUCGGAUGUGAAAUCCCUGAGCUUAACUUAGGAAUUGCAUUCGAUACUGGGAAGCUAGAGUAUGGGAGAGGAUGGUAGAAUUCCAGGUGUAGCGGUGAAAUGCGUAGAGAUCUGGAGGAAUACCGAUGGCGAAGGCAGCCAUCUGGCCUAAUACUGACGCUGAGGUACGAAAGCAUGGGGAGCAAACAGG